UCUUUAGUAUUUGUCUUAAUGCUUACAUGUGUUUACUGUGCACAUUUCUGUAUCCAUGUGAGCCAAUUCUGUCUGGUUUCCAUUGCCUUUGGUAGAAAGACAUACAUGGUGGUGUAGAUCUAUUAGUGGAAAAUGCAUUAGAUAUUUGCCAACAUCAUAUGCUUAAAACUCAGAAGAAAUAAUAGAAAGGAAAACAUCCUUUCCAGGUUGACCUCCUGUGCUCAUCACCAUGGUAUCUCUACGUGUUCAUAAGAACACUGAUUGUGGUGUCUGUUCCCUCUCACACAUGGUUCUUUUUUCCUCUCCUCUUUCCUCUCCCCAUGCAAGAGUUACAGGGUGGAACUUGGUUCAUUUUGAAAUGCUAUUACUUUGUAAUUGGCAAUGCAGUUUUCUUAGUGAGUCAUAUCAAGAAAAGGCACCUUUUAUUUUGAAUGUAGAGUAGCUUCGUUCUGGUGAGAACAGGACCGUAGUCUUUCAGAGACAUAUAAGGAAAAAUGAAAUUGGGAAAAAAUAAGUUUUUAAGAAAAGUUUAAUCACUGAAGCACUGAGAAUGACACCAAUCAGCAUCUCCCUAUGUCACACCUUUAAAUGAGACUAACAUGUUUACAAAGUGACACAGCAGAUAAAGAAAUUACAGUGACUUCAGGACCUGAGCAUCAUUGUCCAGUGCCAUUAAAAAGAGUAAAAUCCAUCUGUGGGAACCAGGUUGGGCAGCAUUUUGUCUGUUAAAACCAUAAUGUCAUGGCAGCAUUGAAGUACGUACAGCUUUGAAAACAAACUGGGAAGACUGGUGGUGCUUUCUUAACCCAGUAUUAGGCACACAGGUCUCGCUCUGAAGUGUAGCAAGCUGAAGUGCAUCUGUUUCCAAUGUCCCAGAUGGUUCUUGUACAAUCUCUAUAACUUCUUUCAGUCUCCUAUUCCCUUCCCGGUUUUCCUUCCAAAAUGCCACUGACUAUGAAUAAUUUAAUUCGCCUGCCAGAGUUCUCCAUCACAUUCUCCAGCCUUAAGAGAGUAACUUUCUAACACUGUAUUUCAAUGUCUUCUGGCAGAAUAUUUUCCAUCUGCUUUUUCGAUGUGUGAGUGUGGGAGGGGCAGAGGAGGCUGGGAUAGCGGGGGUGGUGUCAAGGAACGACGCCAAGACAUACUGCUCUCGUUGAAAUGAUCUACUGCUUCCUUUCUGUUUCCACAUGCCUCGGUACACCGCUUUCACUUCCCUUCGGUGUGACUGCUGUUCCUCACUUCUCCUUGAGGAAGUAAAGGACUAUAUGGACGUGGCCUGAUAAGCAGAGAGGAGUGGCUGUUUCUCUACACCUUUCCUGGAACAGAAACUAGCUGAAGAAUUACCACAAAGGCUGACAGUUUGCAGUUCCAGCCUAUACUUACUAGCCUACCAGUGUCACUGUGCUAUGAGCAUAGCAACAACAAUUUUAAAGGUCUGGGAACUUGAUGUAGAACCUGAGGCAUCUUGGGAUUACGUGAGUCAGGAGACUACUUGAAUGGUCAUGUGCUCUGACUUCUUUUCUACUUGUUGUCCCAGUGAGAGAAACCCCAGGAGUAAGGCUGGUAGCUCUCCAUUCUUAGAAAAUCUCACUAGUAAUGUCUUUGCUGGCCACAGUCCUCUGUGGUUCAGAUCUCUUUGAAGGCAGAGUAGGAUAAUGUUCCUUUGCACAUUCCUGCUUCACCUUCUGGUCUGAACAGCUACAGCAAUGGCCUGGACUUCUAAGGUUUUUGGCAGCACCUUCAUUCCGGAAUGCUGUUAUGAGUACACAUGUUUGCAUUUUAAGUUUUAUGAGGAGAAAGGGUUUCAAGCACUUUUACUUAGUGGCAGACAUAGCCUUGGUCACUGUGCCCUACAUGACUGUUGGAGCCACAAGGUGAUCCAGCAGUCAAAACAGGCCACUUAUCCUAUCACUCACAUGCCAGAGGCCACCAAGAACUUUGUUCACGCUCAGGACACUUUCCUGGCUCCCUAGCAACUGCCCUGUGAGACGUAAACUGCUAACUGCACUAAAUAGAAAACAUACACUCACCAUUUCUCACCUUACUCUCCCAGAGUCAAAACUCACUGCAGUAGAAAGUAGGACCUUCAUAUUUGCAAUACAUCCCUCCCACUCCCACCCUCCCUCAAACACACCUUACAGCAAACCUAGUAUCAGGCAACAUAAACUACAAAAUGCUUUCCUCAGAGCAGUCACUGCCUUGUAUCAAAAUAUGAAAUCCUAGCUCACAGAACAGAUUUAUAAAGGCAUGCUGUGAAAAGUCAGUAGGAAUUAGGCAUCAGGGCAUAUCCACAAAUAGUCUUUGGUAAGGAUUCAGACCUGGGCACCUGAUAUUUUCUCAGGUCCUGAACUUCACUUACUGGGUUUGCCCUGUUUCUUUUCCAUCUGCAAGGUGUGGAAGAAAGGCAACAGUUUUCUCUUGUACCAUUUUACAGGCAUUGUAAACCCUCCAGUUUACUUCAGUUAUAUAAACACUUUUCCCAAUGGAGCAAAACAAUUCGGAUUCAUGCAGUUGUCUCUAUGCUCUGGGUUAAAAUGUUUCAGAAGCUUGAUCUGAAAUGCAACAAGGGUAAAACAAUGAUUCACUUACUUGUGUUCAGAGCUUGUUUUACUGAGCAUUGCAAUAGUUUCACUUAUUCCAGCAACACCCAAAUAUGUUCAGAUGCAGCUGACACUGCGCCAUUGUGAACUUCUGUUACUUUGUUUAAAUUCUUCCGGGUGGUCCAGUUGCAAAGUGGAGAUCCAGAUAAGCCUGCAUACCAAGGUCAGAGGUGUUUACAUCCCUAAGUUCAGCCUGAAAAAAUAAAAAUGUGGGAUGGAAUUUUAUUCCAAACUUUUCCUUCCCUGACAUUCAGGGUGGCAGCAGCUGUUAGUGCUGAUGGUAAUAAUUGUGCCCAAGAAGAUCCAGCAAGUGACAGAUUGUUAAAGAUUAUGUAGGGUGACCAUCUUUAAAAUGCUUCUAAAGUAUCUUAUUAUUAUUAUUGGUAUCAUUAAUUCUCAUGUGUAAUACCAGUGACCAGAUUUCAACCCCAUCACUCACAAACAGCCCAUCACCCGAGAAGAAAUCAGACUGCUUAGUUUAGGUAGAGCAGCAAAUCCUUCACUGGGAGGAAAAAAAAUUAAUUUUGCUGUUUGUGUUCAACAUGGGAAUAUUUCCUUCAGUCAUGGAAUACAGACUAGCAGACUAUUACAAACAUUGUUUUCUGCAUAUUUCCUGAUAUUCCAGAAUGAAUAAGAUAUGGCCAGAGUGUUGCAAAUACUUAUGCAAAUGCUGACUUUUAGACAUGCAGGUAGUCCAGUGAAAUUCAACAAGGACUGUGAGAUGCAAACGAAAAGCGAUGCUGAUAUUCAGAGAGAAAAAAGCCAAACAAACACUGCUUUCUGAGUUGCUACUCAGAGAUGUGAGUUAGUGAUGACAUUGUUGAUGUAAGAACAUCUCUCCUAGGCAUACUUAAGAAGCUGGUUACCUUUCGUUCAGUUUUCUGGAAGAAAUCCCACAACAGAGACAUGGAUUUCAGAUCAUGAAAUCUGAAGUCCAAACACCUUUGAAUAGUGAUCUUCCCAGGAGAUGUUUAGUAUGGCUGCUCAUGGAAAAAUCUCUUUAUAUUUCAAGAUCAGCCCUGCAGCAUGGAGGAUCCCUUGGCAUGGUUCCCAAGGAAUGUGUAUUCCCAUAAGGCAUUACUGGAAAAUGUAUGACAAUUACUGUACUGGAGGAAUCUCUCCUACGGAUGCCACUCUUACCACAGAAUUUAAUGAACUAACAGGGCUGCUGUAAUUUCUUUUACUUCCAUAUCUACUUAAAUUCAAGCUGGGCGCACUUUUAAGAAUAUCCUUCUGUGUACUGAAUUUCAUUAUGACAGUGAAACACACCAUAAGUGCAUGGUUCAGACUCAGAAUUUGCCUCAAUAUUACUGGUCAUUCCUUCUUCUUACAUCCCUCUCCAAAGCCAGAAGUGUCUCGGCAGUUGCCCAAACCUCUAUAUAAAGUACAGAGGCAAGUAUAUGACUAACUUAGACUGGACUCACAUUUUAGAUGACUAAAAGUAGUGAGGUGAAUCCUACCUGUUUAGGUUUGCUGUCUCUAUGUAGCCAGUUUGCGUCAUAUGGAAGAUAAAUGCUACAACAAACACCACCCUUGUAAGAUUCCAGAACUUCAAAACACAGCCAUGUGAAGUUCUUUUCCUGAGUUUUUUUUGUCUAAACUGGGUGUGAAGUUUAAAUAUUUCACUGAUGUUUGAGUAAUGUCUUCGUCAUUGGGAAGACAUUUUUAAUAAGGUAAAUAUACAAGUACAUUUUUGAAAAGCUCAGAUGCUCACCUCUUCUGCUAAAAAUAUUGAUUAGGUCUUCAACACCUUCUUGUGAAGAAAAGGAUAUUAUUGUUACAAAUGCAUUCAGCUGAGAGGAAAGACAGUGAGACUAGCUAUAAUUGUCUUGGCUCAGAGUCUAAACCCUUGAUUUGCAAUUGGUUAUUAUCUUUUUUUUGGCCUCAAGAAUGUUGAAUCAAGAAUUUUCUCUAUCAGUGCUUCUUGGCUAUAAUGGUAUAAAUAAGUUAGGUAUGGUCAUUCACUUCAUAUGUUCAUGCUUUUGGGGAUAACUAAGAUAUUUAAAAGCUCAGUACUGUCUAUUCAGCAACUGAUGCAAAGAUUUUUUAAAUGAAAGACUUCUGUUGUUGUACCUUUUUUUUUUUCCCCUCAUUUUAUUCCUCCACAAAAGAGAGAGUAGCACAUGAAUCUUACACUGUUUGAUAUUUUGCACAUGACUAACAAAAAUCUCAGCUUGGAAACUUGGGAAAAUAAAGUAUGACAUUUGCUUAAAGUCUGCCUGUAUCGCAAAAUAGUAAAAGCUUUUCUGGCUUUUCACCUCCAAUCUGGAUUCAAGUCAGAAGAGAGACAAGUUUAGUUAGAUGGCAUGUUUCAUAUUUCUUCUUCCCUGGAAGAAACUGAAUAACUCCACAUGGAUUCUUUGGCAAUCCUUAGUGACAGCAGUCCUGGUAAGAGAGAACAUGUAGGAGAUGAUCGUGCAAUAAUGCUUUUGAACAUGACAGCUUGCACUUACUUCUUAAAAUAAAGAAACAAACAAACCAAGAAUGUUUUAUUUUAAAAUGCCUAGUACUAAUGGAAUAUUCCCCUGUUGUCAAACUGCAGCAUUGCUUGCACUGGGAUCCCAUUUUCUUAACAUACACUGGCAUGAAGUACUUUCCAAAAUAGCAUCUAUCUUAAAGUGGUUACUUUCUUUUCUGUUCUCCAGUGAAACUUACAUAAUAACUUCCUGUUAAACAGGAAAACCAAUAGCAUCUUUAUGAAUCUUUCUUUUUUCAGUUUACCAAAAAAAAGAAUAAGUGGCUUGGUGUUCCUCUUAAUAUGGGAAUGUUUUUGAAAAUACAUGUUAAAAUGAAAAUUUUAGUGUUUUCAAUAAAUGCCAGAAUAUAGACAGAAACAUUUUCUGUUGAUACAUUCUAAGAACUCCCCCUCCACAACCUUGUUUGAUAGUAACACUGCUGAAAGAUUUUUAAUAUGUGUCUGACUUUAUUCAUUUUAUUCAAAACCAAAGAUGAUGUUCAUUUGCCAAUUUUUGGUUCUGGCUUGUUUUUUUUUUGUGACCCUGGCUCAGUUAUUAGUAUUUCCUUAAUUGACGAGCAAUCCAUUUUGUUGCUGCAUUUUUGGUGCUUCAUCAGUAAGUAAUAUUUUGUUUAUUCUGCAUUGGUCUAGCCAUCCAAAUGAUACUUCAGAAACAGUCAUUGCCCUAUACAUACCCGUCAAUGGGCAACAAAACUCAGUAGACUUCACCUCAUGGCAUAAGUCUAUUAUUUCUUCCUAGUUUGCGCUACCUUAAUUUUAAUUUUUGCUUCAUUUUCAGUUCCACCAUAAGCAUUAGUGGAAAUUUUCCUGCCUAUGUACAUAUUUCAUAUUAGGCUAUCAUUUAAUAAACUCAAAAAUAUCAGUAUUCUGAACCUGAGCCGAAAACCACAUUGAAGACUCAUUCUUUCCUUAAACUAAAUGUGAACUAUUUAUAUGCCUUUGGAUUAUAGAAGAGUAUUAAACCAGCUACUGGUUCAUAAUACUGCUUUUACCAAAAGCUUCCAACCCUGCACAGAUCACAAACAGCACAUAGUUUAACUGUCCUUCAGUACUGCCACAUCCAGGUGAAACUACCUUGAGACAUUGGCUUGACUAAAAUGGAGAGAAGCUGCUUUCUGUUGUUUUUCCUUUUCCUUAAAUUUUCUGAAGAAAAAUAAAGAAAAAGGAAAAGGAAAAGAAAAAAAAAAAAAGAAGACAGGGAUUGUAGAAAGGCUUGAGCAGGAAAGGAAAUUAAAAAAAGUUAGAUCAAAUUAGAUCAAAUUGCUUUAGAAGGACUGAUCCAAAGAGGAUCAUUGCACUGGAAGGACUGAUAAGACAAUGCUGUUUUAGAAGUGGGUGUUUAGUCCUAGAAGUUUUGAGAUCAAAGCUAAAGGGUGUAGGAGAAUGAGCAACAAAUUGUGGGAAAAUGAUCCCAAACACUUUGUAGUUUAUACUGAGAAAAAGUGAUGAGGAAACUGAGACAGGAAAAUAUAUAUGAGAGUAUUUCCUGCAGUUUGCCUAAACCUUCUCCUUUGCCCAAGGCUAUGUGGAUCUCGUGGAUGUGUACCCAGCAGAGCGGCAUAGGGGAGUGCCCUAAUGCAAGGAGCUCAAACAACAUUCUGCUGGUGGACAAAAAUGGUUUAACAGGGCAUAUCAGUGGGCAUAAAUGGUGUGAUAGGGCAUAAAAGCGACUCAGAAAGCAAACCACAUAGAGGCAGCGAUUUUCCACUGCCUCUUGGUGGAGACAACUGCCAGCUGUGUGGGUGAGCUCCUUCUUGCCACUCUGCUUCACUAAAACAAUGCGAGUGGGUGCAGGCUCCUGAUUUGAUGAUUUGAAGAGACCUGUUCUCAUCUUGCACAAGUUUAAAACAGUUGAAGACCACUGACUUACAAUAAAUUGUUCCUAAAUGAAUCCAACACAGGUGAAAAAAGGAUUAGUUCAUGAUCUUGUCUGUAGCAAAUCAUGGACACAGAGCCCAUGAGAGGCACUUUUUAUUCACUUUCCCAUUACCAAACUUCUCAAUGCUUCUUUUUAUUGUUACAUUUUCUUCUUCUGCAGCUAGUGGAUAAGAUGGCAGAAUUCCCGCUAAUUUAUGUAUUAUGUGUAAGUAUUGUGUAUCUUUUCAUGAAGUCCAGAAGGCUUUUUCUCCUGCUGUACUAUACCUGUCUGCAAACAACACCACUCUGGUUUCUAAUGUUGAGUAUUUAUUAGAAAUGCUUUUACAUGAGCUGGCAAGGAGACAACAGAGCAACCCUAUCUACAGUAAAAGGAAAUAUUAAUUUCAAAAGCAUUGUGUGAAAACAAAAAGGAAAUCAGCGCUAAAAUAAAUCACUUAAAAAUAUGCUACAGAUUCCUUGAUAUGUCUUUCCGUCAUCUGAAGAUAAUGCAAGCUAGUUAUUAAAAAAACGCAAAUAAUAUUUUCCUAGGUAGAUCACUACAACCUCUUGGGACUUGGCUGACGUAUUUACAUAUGUAUCAUAAUAAUUAUCCUGCCAUUUUCUGACUGUUGUUGUAUCAGUUUAGCUACAUUUGUUUUAACAUUGAUACUCAAAAUAGUUGCCUUGAUUAUUCUUAUUUUACUUUCCUGUCUUAACUGGUGGGCACCAAUACAUGGAGCAAAUACUCAAGAACAUGUUAAUUCUCUCUUUUGCAUCCUAUAUUGCUUUUUUGUAAAAAGAUAAAACAGAUUUUCAGAGACAAUAUGCUAUUACUGUAAAGCAUCAUCUCAAAGAAUCACAGCAUAGUUCAAUGGAGUAACCACAGUUAUUCUCUGAGAGAGCUCCCUUCUGAUAGGGACAGGUAAUGCUAUGAUUUUCCCAAGGCCAGCCACUCAAAAAUCAUGGAUUAAUUGCAUCUUCAACAAAUGCAAAAUAAUAAUAAAAAAAUUACAACUUUUUUUUUUUUUUUUUUGGGUUUUGAAGCCGUAUGUGUGCUCAUAGCACCCUUUCAAACUCUUUUUUUUUUUUUUUUCAGCCAAGAGUCCUUUUUUUUUAAGUUUUCAAACAGAAACUGGAAUUAUGUGUUUGCUCCUCAACCUCAUCUCCAAGAGUGGAGGUUUAAGAAAACACAUUAAAGAGAGGAAGACUGCAUAUAAAUUGCAGGAUCUGGGAACACGCAUAUAAGCAAAUCAUGGAAGAUGUAACAUGCAUUUCUAAACUAUAAAAUAUAUCUUUGGCACCAAGAAAAUUAUGCAAAAUUUAAAUAAUGAAAUUUAGAUGUUGCUAGCUGAUCUUUGAAAGGGGUUGUACAAGUAUUCAAAGUGCCAGUGUUUGAUUGUUCAAUUUAAUAAAAGCAGUAAGAAAUAUGUUUCUCAUUUCACUGCCUCUUGCUAUUCAUACAGGCUAAUUCUCACUCUGCCAGUGGCUCAUUUCUUCAAUUCCAGGAUGUACCUUCAUUAUUGUUGAUGUAUUAUAUUACACAUUCUUCUUUGGCUACUGCAGUAAUAUGCAAUGAAACAAUGAUCUUACAGAAAUAUUGUGUCUGAAGAAAACCACAAACCCCUAAGAAUGCUUUUAAACAAUGGGAUUCAUUAUUUAACCAAAGCAAAACUAAUGUGACAGUGUCUCCAAAGCAUUUUACUUGAAAAUCACACUAAUGGAGAACUUGGCAGAAAAAUACAGUUGUCAGGAAACUGUGGAUUGUCAGAGACCUGUUAUCUAGACAAAUAAAACCAAACAAAACUGAAGGAAAAUAUAGACAGGAACGUCACCUCCUGCUGUUCCUUCACCAGGAUUACUACCAUUCGAAAGACCACUUUCCAACACAGCAAUGAUGUAAACAGAGGUGAAAUUUAUACUGCUUCGUCUAAAAGACUACAUCACUUCUGCAGAGGAAACAAUAUUGCUUGUCUCAUAAGAACCUUUGGUGGAACCGGGCAUGUACAGCAAACUCCAGAGAACCCCUAUGGGUUAGUGGUGACAGUUUGCAGCAGUUUGUAAGGAACUUGGAGAAAAAAGUUUGUGUGAAAAACCUGAAGGAAGCCUCAAUCUUUUUUUGCUGAGAGCUCCUCUAGGGUAUAGCUAGAACACCCUUGUAAAUAAGUAAUAGGGACACUAGGUUUCUUUAGAAGCAUGUAGCCCUAGUCACUACCCAGCAUAUAUGAAACAUGGUGGCAAUGAGGAAAGCUAGUGAGAAGUACAAGAAAACAGGUGAGUGUUGUUAGCAGAAAAACAAACCAGCAGUUACAGCCCAAAUAGGUGACUCAUAUAAUAGGAAAUGAGAUAAUUAACAGAAAUAGUGCCCCAAACUGAGGACAGUGGAAAAACUGAAUUCUGUCACUCUAAACUGGAAGAGUAUCUGUGGUGACAUUGUUUAUCAGAAAGCAAAGAGCAACAAGCAACAGUGUUGGGAAACUUGUUAUUACACGUAAUUUGGCAAGCAUUAAAAAUUUCUUAAUUUUUGGCAGGGCUAUGUCAUGGAACUUGUACCUCCAGGGGGUAGAAUGGUCAGAGGAACAAAUUUAAACUUCAGCAGUGAUCUGCAAAUGACUAACAUUAAUGAAACAUUCAGAGAAAAGUGCAGAAUAAAUGUGGAUGCUCAAAAUGAAGGAAUGCACAGGGCAGGAGAGAGGCUGAAAGCUGAGGAAAAUAGGCAAUAUAGAGCAACAUAUAUACUGCAGAAAGUAAUAUGAAGUCUGAAGAAAGAAAAAAACAGUGUCUGGGCAAAAAUACAAGAGACCAAACAACCCUAGCCUCUUACUACCCAGUUAAUUGGACAGCUUCUUCAGGAGGAAGAAAGUAACUGAGGAGGUGAAAACUGCACCUGGUGAGAAAGCUUUUUGUAAUGUCAUUUGUACACACCUUGCCAGGCAGCUGCUGUGCUUGCUGUGAUGUAAAAGGAAGAAAAUAACUGUUUUAGGUGUUGCCUGACAAUGAUUUUGUUUGUGGUUUUUGUUUGGUUGGUUUGAUUGUUUGUUUAUUUGUUGUUUGUUUUGGUUCUUUCUUUGUUUUUUUUUUUUUUUUCCAUUUCUUUUUCACAUGAAAAGAAUAAGAAAAUUUUAAAUAGUUAUUUUUCUGAUGAAUGCAAUGAAGGAACAAAGGAGAAAAGGUGACAAAAGUGGUUUUAAAGAAACAGCAUUUUUGAGAGAAGAACAGGUGAUGCUGUAGGAAGCAUGAAAAAACGAUCAAUAAACACAGAUGUAUGUGAAGUUUUGGAAGAUAAAUUCAGGAGCUACUGACCUUAAAAAUGUCUAAAGCUAACUGUUCCAGUCAUGAUAAAAUUUCAGUAAAUACAAAUCAAAUCAUAAGAGAGACAAAAAUUACAUUAAGAUUCCAUGCAUUUCAUAGAAAUUAUGAUCAGUACAAAGUCAGGCAGUUCUUUGUGCUUAAUAAAUACUUUGCAACAAGAGUAAUAAAUUCUAAUUGGAUUUGGGCUUUUUUUUUUUUUUUUUUUUUUUACAAGACAACUAAAGUGAUAGUUUAAUGAUUUACAGAGUUUAAUUGUGUUUCUCUAGAGAAAUGCCACUUACUAAAUAGCAUAACUGAAACUUCAAGUAAUACAGAGAAAUCAGCAAAAGGGAUGAAAACAAGUUCAUCCUGGAAUUAGAUCUCCAGCUAAGCAUUACUUUGUAUAUGUCAUGCACACAGAUACACAUUUUAAGAGUUCAAAUACGUUUCUGUUUCAAACGUCAACUGAAAAAGUUACUUAACAUUCUUAUUUUUGGAGCAUAAGGUUGCAAGGUAGCCCUUGAGUUUGAUUUUUUCUAAAGUAGAGGGUGCUCUCUCAAAUGCCAUAGCUCUGCAGUUUAUGUUUUAACUUUAAAACAACAAUUGCCAGCAGCCUUGUUCAUGUCACUUUGUUCUUCCCAUAAUAUAUCUUUUUGUUUCUCCACAAAUUAAAUUAUAAUUCAUAUUUCUCUCUCAGAAUUAGCUUCCCACAGAGAUCCUUAUUAUAGCAAAUGUAGUUGUUAUAACUAAUUUUAACAAUUUAGUGUAUAAGUUGGUAGAAAGUACUUUUCAUUUUUCUGCUAGUGAACAGAACUUAUUUUUAAAGGGAAUUUAAAUGUAUUAUAUGUACUGCAUGCUGACAAAUUUUUGCAUAUCUGCCAUUACAGUACAUUAAGCAUGUAGUAAGGCCACAAGUUAGGAUGUUAGCAGCAGACCCAAACAUGAAUUCGAAAGAACUAAGACUGAAGAGGAAGAAAUAAUACUUUUGUGAGAAAAACUAGAAUUAUGCUGAUAGAGGACAGGCAAAUGUAUUCUAAUAAUUAUUGAGAUUUCAAAGAAAAACUGCUGCCAGAAGGGUUAAAAAAAUCUUAUUAUGACAUACGGUGUUUACCUUACAGCCAGUUCCAAGUGACAUAGUAAAUACUAGGCUUUGUUUACAGAUAGAUAGACAGACUGAUAUAUCUGUAUUUUAACUUAUUCCUUAAGAUUAAGCAUAUCACUAAGCUGUCAGGGAAUAGUCAGGCAGGAGCGGCUGCUCUGGGUUGGGAGGAGCUGGCAGGACAGGCAGCACUCUGCUGUCACCAACAAAAAGGUGGAACCUUGCAUCACCUGCACAAGGUGAGCAGGUCAUGGAUGGUGGUAGUAGCUGGGGAUAUUUAUCCUCAAGUCACACUUUCCCAGGAGAGGGUGCAUGGCUGCUUGAAGGCACCAUCUCAGGGCCCGGGCAACCCCCCAGGAGGAGAGUGCAGAGCCUAUUGGGGUGCUUUGAGUCCUGACACAGGCAAUGUAUUUCUCUUGUCUUUUUCCACUUCUCUCUUUUUUAUUUUUCACAACAGGGUGUUUUCUUUCUCUUACAUAUAACUCUCACACACCACACUUUUUUCUUGCUAAACUUUUGUCUUGGCUUAAGGAAAAGUAGGUGUCAUAUAACUUUGGAUUUUACCUGUCAAUUCCCUAUUCCUCAGGAAUUUCAUGAUCUAUACUGGACUCCUUGGGUUAAAAAAAUGCUUUGGAAUAUUCUUCUUUUUUAGGAGGUAAAAUACCUUGUACAGAUAGGCAUCAGGCAUUUAUAUGUCACUAUUCUUUUGUGAACAAAGAAAGAAGCUCAUUAGUGUGCCUGGGGUCUGAGUCCCUCAAAGUCAGAAAAAUUUCCAGUCCUAACAAUCCCUUUUUUGCAUUCUCUAAGUCUUUGUUCAUGUAACUGGUUGAAAUAGGAUUGAUAGGAUGAAGCAAACUCAUGGCUUUUAGGUUCUCAAAUGUCCAAAUUGCUCUGUUAAGAACAGAAACCUUGAUGUUCCUUAUUACUUCACAAACAUAUAAAUGCUAAGAGGUCAUAUUUGAAGUAGAGAUUACACAAUGCCACCUUGAUCAUAACAAGCUUCUGUGUUUAUGAACAAAAUGUAUUUGCAGUCUUCAUCAGUAGAAACCCCAUAUAUCUAGAUGUCUUUACUCAGGAUCGUUCAUACCAUUUGGACAGAAACAUUCCAAACAACUGAAGAAAAAUCCAUUGAGAGAUACCUUUUUGCAUUCUUGUGAAAAGUACAUUUUUGUUACCUCAUUUUUGUUCUGAUACCACCAGAAGAUGACUUGAAGGAGAAUUUAUUAAUGUCUGAGUAACUUCAGCAAAAGUUUAUUUAACACAGCACAAGCACUCUAGAUUAAUUGCUCUGGCCUAUGAUGGAAACAAAUUUCUCAAGGCUCUCUGGAACACAAUGUAUGACAGUGUCCAAAAAGAGCAGCACAAAAAUCUGUCAGUCAAAACACACAAAAUCCAUAAAUACCAUUGUUUAGUGUAAACAACUCAUUGAAUUCACACAGUUUGAAUCCUUUCUUUUGUAAGUUCUAGCAAUAAAAGCUAGGAAAUAGCCAGUUUUUCAGGAACUUGAAAUCAUCACUCAUCUGUAAAUCUGACAGUCCAUGGCAGGGGAGGUAGGGUGUGGAACAUUUAAUUGCAACCAUUUCACUGCUUGUGGCAUUAAAAGCUCUUUUUAACUAAUUCAAAUCAUCGCCUGGCGGCAGUCUAGUAUGCUUCCUCUCUGCUCUCUAGGAAUAUUUGGUUUCCAUUUUAGAAUAUUUUGUUCAAUUAGGCUGUGUGAAAAGUAGGACACCAGACAAUAGAAACAUUUUUCUUUUCAGGAGUGAGGUCUUGGUACAUUUUUAAGAGAUCAAUGGCUGAGGGACUUGAAGUUACUCAUGUUACACAAUCUGAACCUCUUCUUCUCAGUGCAGCAUCCAGUGCUUUUUAUUUGCUCUUUAUUUAAUACUCAGUCUUCAUGUCAUGUAUUCAUGUACAAGGUUCAUACUGUUAAUUAAAUUGAUUGCUUCUUAAAGUGCACUAAUUGUGAAAUCACAUCACUUUACCUCCAAAUAGCUAAAAUAGAAACCACAAGCUAGGCAGAAAAAAAGUAUGUUAUUUUAGACAAGACAGAAAUGUUAAUUAAGAACUCUUGUAUGCUGAAGUUGAGAGACAGUAUCUUCAUGUCCUGUCCUGAACAAGAACAAUUGCCCAGACAGAUUUUUUAGAACUUUACCCAGAAAUAGCACUGUACUAGCUAGAAAAAAAAUUAAUAAUUCUUUCCAUUUCCUUUCCAGGUAUUAAAGGUUAUUAUAUAGAGAAUUAAAUUUCAUAUUGCCUAGAAGUACUGAAAAUGAAAUCGCAAUAUGUACUAAAUUGCAAAAACAACACAUGCCAAGUAAGCUAUGCAAAUAGUUGUUUGGCUAAAUUUUUCAUAACCUAAGCUGAUUCUGUCUCAAGUUGCUUUCCAAAUGGAAAUUGUCUGGGGACCAAACUAGAUCUUCUGUUCAUGAUAGAUGGCAGUCAUUUGCCUAUUACUUUUAUUAUUAUUAUUAAUUAAAUCUUUUGAAGUUUAUGGCUGAAAAUGUCUUUGUUUUUGCUUUUAGUUCCAUAUUACUUCAACUCAAGGUCAAAAGGAAAAAGUGAUUCUUAUAUUCCACCUCAAUUAUAGCAAUAAUUUCCCCACUGACUGAGAUAUUGAUUUUUAUCAUAGCUAUUUGAAGGUAGCAAAUUUAUAUAUAUAUACAUCUAUACACACACACACACAAAUACACAAACACAUAUAUACACAUGUGUAUAGAUGUAUUUGUUUAUACACAUACAGAGAUGCACAAACUGGGAAGAUUUUUAAAAGUAAAGAGACUGGUUUUGUACUAAUUUUCUACUAAGCGUCAAUAAAACCUGGUCAUUUGAAAUCCAGUUUGUAUCUUGAAUAAUCUUCUCCAUAAAGAUCAUAUUUAGGGCUAAUAUUCAAUAGAAUAAACUUGUAACCUCAAUGACAGAAAGAAAAAGGGCUUAGAGUCUGCUUCUUCACUUAUGCUGCAAAAUUCGUACACCUUAUUGGAAAAGAAAAAUGAAAAAAAUUCUGUUUCAUUUGUUGUAUUUUCUCUUUUUUACAUAUAGCAAUAAUGUAUCACUGAUGUUGGCAUCUUUAAGCUGUUGAUCAUUUUGUCCCAGUUGCAGAAACACAUCUUAAAACAUACAAUACAAGAGAAAUCAGGGCAUAAACAUAGCUAUUAGGUUAUGGUUCUCUUAGCACUUUUUAGGAGAGGAGGUGGAGGGAUUUAGUGUUAAGUAAAUUAAUAUUGUACUAUAAGAAUAAGAUGUAAAGUUAUGGGAGUAUAUAAGGAACCAAUCUGAUAUUUUUCAAGAGUAUAUCACUAUGAAUUGCAUUUUAUAAUUAAAAUAUAAUACAGUUUUUAGUCAUUUUCUGAGAAUUAAGAAUCUGUUUAACAACAAAAAAUUUUGCUAAAAAUAAGCAAUUGUACCUUCCUGAGUGGGAGGCAGUUCUUACCCGAUGCCUUCAACUACUAAUCUCUUGAUACUGAAACUUGUACAUCUUUUCUUUCCUAGGAUAAAAUUCCUCAGUUCCUCAGGGUCAAAAUGGCUCCUGUCUAUGCCAUAGACUCUUCUCACAGUAUUUUUCAAUGCUGCAUGCACAUGGCAUUGUCCAUCUGUCCAGAUCACGCCACUUCCUCUCUUUCAACCUGACCUUUUCUGCCCUAAUCCUCCUUUAGGUUUCAUUUUUCAUUCUUUUAAAAUCACUCCUUCUGCAGUUCCUCACUAUUAUUUUCCUAUCACUGCUUCCUAUCACUUCUGUCUUUUCUGUCCCUUUUCUAAAACCUAACCAAGUUCUGGUCCUGUUGUAGAUGGACUCCUGUCCCUACCCACACAAUCUUCCUGUUCCUGCUUCCCACCUUUGCAUAGAAAACUCUUGUUAUUGCCUCCAACCUACCACUGUCAUACUUCAAUCCAUGUUGAUGACUCAACUUUUCUUGCUAUGUCCUUACUACAUUUCAAUCAUGUAGAAGUUGUCUUGUUUUCUCCGCUUCCUGGCUCUUGAAUUUCCACUUCAUUUUCCUCAUCUGGCUCUGAAUCUGUGCCUGUUUUCCCUUAUGGAAAGCAGUAUUUUUAUCACAAUGCUUUGUUUAUCUCACUUUUUUCCGAUAGCCUCCAAAUCCUUUCUCUACUUAUAAUUUCUCUGUUGUUUUUUUUUUUUUUUUUUUUGCUUGUUUGUUUGUUUUUGUUCUAUAUAGGUUGUUUUAUUUUUUUUUUUUUUUUGCAAGCUGCUGCCUACUAGGCAAGAUUAACCGCACCUAAUUUUAGCUGUCUAAAAGCUAACAUGCAACCUGAGCUGUUCAUCCUAUUUUUUUUUUCUGAAGUUAAGAAAGAAAGAUAGUCAGUUUCAGAGACCGAUCCACGAUGCUUACAUAUCUCAGGAUAGGAGAACAUCACCUGUAGAGGUGAUUAUUUUUCUAUAUUAGCUAUCAGAAGAGUUUACACAGCUAGAUUAGAUUACAUGAUCAUUUUCAAUGAUUAAAAUUAAUCGUUCUAAUAUGUAUUCCAUUGUAGUUUCAUCCCCUGAUUUUCAUCUUGUGAUCUCCUACACUUAUUGCAUAGAGUUCUGUAUAAAUUAAUAUUUUCAAUUUCUGAAUUAAUUUAAAAAAAUGACUAAUUUCUCACAAGUCAAACUCUGUUUCUGAUUAUAUAAUCAAUUAUAUUUUUAUUUGUUUUGUUGAAAAUAUUUUUCUUCUGUAUUACCUUAGGCUUCUCACUUUUGUCACGGGGCUAAUGAUCAGGAUAGUUGAAAAGUGUAUUAUAACGACAAUGGUUUUAAUUCAGCUUUGAAUACACAGUUUCUAAGCAAAAAUAAAAAAUGCCCACUAUUAACAGAAGAGGCUAGACAAUUAAGACUAGUACUUGAUAGAAAUUCACAAUGUUUCAGACCUGAGGAGAAAAAAAAAAAAAGGAAGGAAAUCUAGUUGUUCUAGACAUGACAAAAAAAACCAAAACCAAACAAACAAAACCAAAAGAACUCAGUUUUCUGAUUAUGUUCAAUGUCUACAGAAAAGAGAUCUGAGGUAUAAAUAAUUAGAUCUGGAAGCCUUGCUAUUUGAUCAACAGUAGGACUUAUUUGGCAUAAUACACAGUUCGUGACAUAAAACACAUACACAGUUCGUAAUAUGCAAUUCAUAUUACAUUAAUGUCAACAAAUUUAAUUUAGUAAAAUAAUAAAUAUAAAAUGUAUUAGUUAUUGUUCUGGAUUUAUUAAAUAAUAUUACUAUAAAAUAUUAAACCAUACAAAAUUUAAAAACAAUGCCAUCAAUAUUUGUAUUAAUAGAAACUGAAAAAAGCAGAAGCAUUGCCAUCUAGCUCAAAGACAGAUACCUGCUCUAAAGUCCAGAGUUUAGAUGGAUCCAAAGGCAGGUGGCACAUAACAGUAAAAGACAAAAAGUAUAUCAUGCUAAGGAUUAUGGUGAACCCUGGAGCCUAGGUGCAUGAAACUUUUUGUAAAGAAGGACCAACAUUGUCUGAAUGAGAGGACUGAGUGGUUUUACAGGGAAUGAUAUGCUCCCAUAUGCUGGGAGAGGAAUUUUGAAACUAUUCAGUAGGUUCAUGGAACGAGCUGGGGAUUUGAUAAAUAAAGUAAAGGAUGCAACAGAAGAGUGUUUUUUUUCUCCUCACUACAGAGUGACUGACAAAGCCUGAAUGCAGCUUGGAAGAUGGUGAUUCUGAAUCACUGAGGUAGGAGGAAAAUAAUGAAAAGGUAUAACAAACACAGAAGACUUAAGAAGACAGAUUUCAAGAAACUCUGGGGAACUGGAAACUAAAAUCCCUGUCAGAGAAAGUCCAAGAGCUGAUAGUGUCUCAAGGAAAUAUUAUUAAGCAUAAUUCCCAGCUAUAUUUUAGGAACUGGAUUUAGCAGUCUCUGGAUUGAAAAUGGGUAUUUUAGAUCUUGUGGAGCAUGACUGAGGGUUCAGAAGAAAGUUCAAACAGAUCCACCAUUUUGUUUUUAAGGGGCAGCUGGGAAAAUUAUAUAGACAGUUCAUGGAAAAUACUGCAGCAAAUAAUUAAGCAAACUCUGUAUAAACUAAUAGAGUGUAUAAGCAGAUAGAAUUUAACAGGAAGAUGAGUAACUCCCAAAAUGCAUUUGAGAAAAAAUUCUACUCUCACUCUUCUAAUUAGAAGCUCAACUAGUUUUGUAUUUCUGCAAUCUGUUACUGCAUAGAUAUAAAAUACAUUGUCCAGAAAGAUAACUACUUUUGCCAUUAGACAAUAUGGCAUAUUAACAUGAAACAUAUUAGAAGUGACAAUGUAUUUAUGUAGGUGAACUUAUAUUUUUGUUAAUUUCCUAAAAUUUUCUGAUCCACUCCCCAAUACUAUCAGCAGAACUGACACUAUAGAACAUCUUUCUGAUUAUCUAAAUAAAUUGCCCACCAGUAUAUGAGUGGAAAUCAGACCUUUUUUUUUUCCCCAAUAUCAUAUACUCCCAGAAAAGGACUGAAUAUGUUUGCAAAGGCAGAGAGAGAAAGUUUAUUGGGAUAAUUUAUUUGAGAAAGAAAAGACUGUUCUCAGGGUUAUCUUAUACUUUAUGAGCAAAAGCACUUGGAGUAGAUAAAUGUGUAGAUAUUUGAAUACAAAGAAAGCAUGUGCAUGGAAAUUCCUUGCCUGUUAAUGCAAGAAGUUAAACAUUUUGACAAUAGUACACUCCAAGAUAACUGGGAGGGACACACACAUUUAUAUAGUAAACCAGAACAAUUGAGAUGAAAUAAUAUAUAUAGUCUAAUAAAAGUUUGUAUUACUGCCAAGAAGUGUUCAUGCCAAAAAUGUUCUGCAGCACAGCUGCCAAAAAAAAUCUGAGAGCAUUAUGAAACACGCUAAAUCUAUACAUAGAGGGGCUUAGAGAAGAAAAAAAAAAAGUAUGUUUAUUCUUAGGAUUCAAGUGUAUCAAAUCAUUAUGGUUAUUUUAUGCACAAUAAGCAAGGCUCUGAGCAUGCUGGCAAGCAUUCAACAGAGCAUUUGUGCUGCUUGAGGACCAUGUUGGUCGUUAAAUUCAGGAGGAAGGCUGAAAAAAGCCAUAAUUAACUUGACUGUUUGAGACAAGCUAAACAUCCAAAUUGAUGUAAAAACUUCCAUGUGUUGUUAGAUAUAACUUAAUAACAUUCCUGUCAUUGCUAAGCAGACUCAGCUCCCAAUGAAGGUGAUUUGAGAUACACAGAACAGCCAUCCUGGGGUCUACUUUGAAAAAGAUGAAAAGUGGGUUGCCAUUGCUGCCAUGUGGCCUUCAAAUGAGUACUUCCAUGAGGAACUUGGAGAGCCUUAGGAAGCCUUCCUAGUUUGCAGUUUCCAAAACAGUAUUCUCACCACCAGGUUCUGAGGGCUAGAUCAUGAAUUUUUAGCUUUUGUCUUGAAGACAGUCCACUGAACAGUCAAAAAUAUCAAGAUUCAGGCAUCCAGGAAGGGACCUGGAAACCAAAGGCCAGUGACAAGGCAUGACAACCUGGGAGAGGGAGCUGCCAUGUUCUGAGAAGAGACUAAAGGGCUAUGGCCACACUUCGGAGCAGAGAACGCUGAGAGAUGACAGACCGAGGUUUAAAAUUCAUGAAGGCAGAGGCUGAGGUGAACACAGAACUGUUGUUUACCAAAUCCCACAAUACUGGAACCAAAGGGCACUCAAUGACAUAGCAGGAGGUGAGCUUAAAAUAGCCAGAAGAAAGUACUUCUUUACACAGCAGGUAUCGAACUUUUGGAACUUACUGCCACAGGAGGGUUUUUUUUAAUGUUCAUCUGUGAAAAAGGAUUUCAGACAUGUUCUCCUCCUUAUUCCUUGUUGUGGGCUGGCUAAAGCUUCUCAGUGCUUAGAUCCCUUGUAACACCUGAUGCAGGAGCUUAAAAUUCCUCUUUUUGAUUGCUGCAUGGUGUCUUCAGCUCUUACCUCAACAUUAUGAAUUUAAUGAUUAGGAGUGUGCUCUUAGCUUCAAAGUAUUACAGCUCUACCUGCAAUGGAGUCUGACAGUUUUUGUUCAGUAUCUGCCUUUUUGUCUAUGAAGAUACACAAGCAGGCACAUCAAUUUCUUUUCCAGGAAAGCAGUUUAAUUUACAUAGCAUUCUCAAGCUUCGCUGUGAAAUAGGAUGCAACAAAUAUGCCAUUGGGAAAGAGAGGUAAAUCACAAGUGUGUGUGAUAGGUGGCUUAAUACAGGUGGUAGGAGAGAGAAAUAACUAGAAAUUUUGAUUUGCAAGCCAAUAGCUUCAGGAAUGAUACUCCUUCAGAUUAUGGCAAGAUUAAACGGGAAUCUCUCUUCUUCUACCAAUAACACAGCAGGAAUUUCUGAGUAUGACACCUGCUUUUGAUGGGGUGUGAAGUUCAUGGUUGAAUUUCUUCUCUACUUCUUCCUUUAUCACAAUAUACAUUGAAGAGAGAACACAGUUUCAGAUUUAUUUGUCUUGCAAACAGGAGAGAAAAAGUGACCUCUGAGCUGAUUUCAUUUCUGCAUUAUUUCUGAUUCCAGACAUACAAAUGUGUGAGACAGACAAAAGCUGAAAAAAUUUUUAUUUGUUUUCAUAAGACAAGCAUUUUUCUUCAUAUCUUUUUUUCACAAUUAAUUGUUGUUAUCACUAUUUCAAUUAUGAUUUUCAAUUGUUAUGAUCAAGCAUCUUGGAAUUAAGGUUAAUAACAAACGUCAGAAUAAAAAAUAAUUAGGAUGGUGGUGUCAUGAAAUCUUAAAUUCUAAUUUCAAUUUAAAUCAGCCCUUUGAUAAAAUCUAAACUGAUUUUAAUGGCUGAAGAAGGGCAGAGAGAAGACUGAAGUAUUCUGCACCAUAAAGAAAUAAUUAAGUAAUAAAGAAAACAGUACAAUUGAAACCAGUAGUUCUUUCUUCUACAAAGCCCUGGCUAGUAACAUGGUGCUGGCUCACUUCAUUUCCAGCUGCUAGAUUUCACUAAAAGAAGCUAAAAAUAAAUUCAAUACUUUCCUAAAAUGACUUUCCCGUGUAAGCAAGUGUUGCAGUUGCCAUAGGGAUGUUAUAACAUCAAAAAUGGGAAGCAGUUCACUUAGUGGUAAAUAAGCACACUGGUAGGCAAGUUAUCCAUUUGAGCACGUCUCAAAGAAGAAAACUCUCAGGCUAUAUUUUUGAGGCAGGGGUAAAAAGAAAAAGAACUUUAGAUUUAGUCCACAACAGUGCAGAUCACUGAAUGUAGGUUUUCACAGGUGGGAGCAUCUGUGGAGACGUAAGACGCUUACUGCCUAUGCCUAGUGCUCUUGCACCUAACUUUAGGACCUACACCUUCUAUUGAAAAGAGAUAAAAAUUUUGAAAACAUCUUUAAAUUCUGUGAAAAUGAAAACAUCAUCCUGUUCUUACAUUUACCAUUUGUCCAGUGAUCCAGGAGCUGUCCAGCCCUUCUCCUUUGCAACGCAUUAAGUGACUGAAUUCUAGUAGUACACAAUUUGCCCUAUACUACCCAUUUAUUUUAAAAGUUAAUACAAAUAAACACAAACAUGCCUAACAAGCCAAUUAAAUUCAUUUCCAAGGUUUCUUCAUAAUGUUCUACAUCAUAAAAUUUCAAAGGUCAGAUGAUAUAAAUAACCAGUGACUUCACUGAAGUUGAUACUACUGUCCUGAUUUACAACAAGUAGUAAUCUAAACUCAGCACUCAAGUAUUGCAUUCUGUGCUCAACCCAGAAUAGAAAACAAAUGGCUGGUUAACAAAUACCAUGGAAACAAGAAAAAAAAGUACAAAUCCUAUAAAGAAUCAAAUCGGAAAAAAAAGAAGAAAAGCCAGAUUGUCUGUAGUUAAAAUAGAAUUAACUGGGAUUCUGCAACAAGAUCAUUAAAAUACAAAAUAUUAUGAUAGUUUCUACAUUUUUGUACGUGCCUUUGGUACAUGUUUGAAAGAGUUUUUCUUUUAAGGCUGACAGUUUUACCAGUCUUAGAACGUCAUUACCAACCUGCUGUUCUGAACCCAGCUUCGAAGGGGUCCCUUUCCCAGUCAGCUCUUCCCCAUGUGCUGAAUCAAGCCCUCUGAAUUGCCCUCCCACAACACUUUUGUUUCUCUGUUUUGUACCCGUACUCACCUGUUUCCCCAGAUAAAUAGUCAAAAGUUUAGGUUUCCCCCUGAAGUGUGGCCCAUUCAUUUUGCAGUAUAUAUACAGCUACAGAGUGAAUAGUAAAGCUCAGCCUGGUCAGGGAUGUUGACCAGUAAACAUUCCCUCUCUUCACUUAUUCCUGUCUGGGAUUUAACCUGCCUACAUUUAAGGCUCCAUUUUACAAUACUAGGUACAUAGCAGAGGACAAGUGCUCAAACACAACAUCUACAUCCCAAAGUAGGCUCUGUAAGCAGAUCAUAUCAGGUUUCAUGUUAACCCCAAUGUCAGGACAGAAUUAGUUACAAGAAUCACCCACCAUCUUCCUUGAUAUACCUCAAACUGAUAUUAUUUGGGACCAUGUGGCUGGCCAAGAGCAGCAGAUGCAAACAAGCCAGAUAGAGUUUGAAUUGCAGUGUAAAAAGUAACUACACUAACUUGAAAAUUUGAGAUUUUUCCCCAGUUUUUCAGUGUCCAGUGUUCGGAGCUUGGUGGCUAGGAGAGAAUGAGUCUUAACCAGUGGAUAUCUAAAUGGUACUUGGUCAGAUUACUACCAGGGCUGCUAGAAUCCCACAGACCAGUCUGGACUAUAAGUGAGAUACAAGUCAUCUCUGCAGCUUUUAACAAAGAGACUUGUAUAUUGCACUACAGGCCUGGAUUUCCUUUAUGGUCAAGAGGGAGAAAUGACAUUAGAUAGGCUGAAUUAAUCUAGCUAUUUUAAAGAUGUACUCAAGCAUGAGAUAGAUAAGGUGAAUUGUGCUCAGGAUAUGCCUAUUUAUCUCCUUCAGUUAUAAUGGAAAAGUAGAAUGAACAACUCAGAUGUGUACAUUUACAUGACAAAUUUCUACAUUUGGGGAGACAAAAAUCACCUUGGCUGCUCAUACUGUCCUUGCAAGCAGUCAGCAUUCACUCUGAGUUUAGCUCGUCUGCAGAUGCCAUGCUCCUUUGUAGAAGACAAUGCCAGAAACUUCCUUAGAAGGAUCUCAGAAGCUUUACAGGCAACAACUGAUAGCAAGGGCACAUGUGGCAGCUGGGAACUACAAAAUAUGGUAUCAUCCACUCACAGAGUGUGUGUGUCAAAUGCACAGAAAGGGCUGCUGGUCAGCUCUGGAAAUACCACCAGGGUUGCCUCUCUCCCUGCUCCAAGUGGGAAAGUAGCAUUAAUAGACAGCCAUUGCAGUGUCCAUGGCAGGAGAGAGGCAGUCCCGCAGGGCUGUGUGGGUAUCCUUUUUGUCAGGGUCUAGUGCCCAGUGUGUUGCCUCUUGGUCUCCUUCCCUUUGACCUGUUCAUGUCCUUCUGCUAAAACACCCAGUCACCCAGCGAGAGACAUCAUGCCUUUUGGUUAUACAGUGACUCUCUGGAGAGAUGCCAGUAUGUUUCUCUGUGAAUACUUCAGCAUUUUAUUCACAUUGAAAUAGCGUCAAGAAGAAGAGGGUAGAAAACACUUUCCUCUGAAAAACCCCACGAUGUAGUCUUAUCAGGCACGCAAAGGUGGGAUUUUAAGCAAAAUGUAAAUUGAAUACUUGUCUCUCAGCCCCUCUAUUCUAAGCAGUGAGCUAUUGCUCAAAAAGCAAUAGUCCUCCUUUCUCCCUAUGCUUUAAUAAGUUUGUGCUUUAUGUCUUUUAUCACAAGUGGCUGAACAUGAAAUAUGCUGGAAAUGGCAGGAACAGUUGGUUUCAAUAUUUCUGAACAAUUUCUUUCAACCCAACAUGAACUAUAUUCAAAAACUAUCUUGUAAGUUUUGCUUUUGGCAAAAAUUAUAAGAAGAUACUGACCUAAAUGUACAGUGAUUAUUCGUUGUCCCAAAGUGCUCUUUACAAUGAAAAAGGUACUUGAAAAAAAUAUGAUCCAGCUGUCCUAACUGUCUAGUACAAUGGCCUAAUGAGCAAUGUGAUCCAAUAGUUGAUUGAAGGUAGAGCUGAUUUUAUAUAGUACUGGAGAAGACUCCAAAGGAUACAGAAAAGCAGAACAGACCCUUGUGUAGACUUUAGUACUUUGAAAAGCCAGGGAGCACACUGCAGGACAAAAAGUCUCAUGAAAUGACAUGAAGCUCUUCCUGAAACUUCACCUAUUGAACAUUUUUUUUUUUUAGAAGUAACACUAAUCUGGAAGAAAAAUAAUGUCCAGAUAGAUGUCAACUUCCAUAUUUUAUUACAUUUUUGUGUAUAUAUCUAGUUUAUAUAUGUAUAACUCUAUAUAUAGUUAUAUGUACAAUUUUAUAUUAAUCAUGACUAGAAAAUUUUGCCUGAUGUCUACAGCCUCUUUCUGUUUACGUGUAUACAUAAGUAUAGGUAUAAAUGUACAUCCAUACACACAUAAAUGCAUAUAUAGAAUAAGAAAGUUUUCCAGUUUUCCAAAUACACUGAAUACAUAUGAAAGUACAUACAAUCAGCACAGAAUGAUUGUAUAUAUGGUGAAGUGGCCUUUGUAAUUUUUUUUGUGGUGUUUAAAGGGCACUCUGAUGUGAAGAUUAUAACUCCAGUGAGCCUUUAUAUAACAAAAUAUAAGAUGAAGGAGAGACCUCUGUCAGAUGCUUUCCUAAAUGUCUCUAACAACCGUGGCUGAAUCUUCUCCCCUCUGGGGAGCAAUGGUGCUGCUACACCUCCAGUUUUUGCUGAUAUAGGGACUCCUGUUUCUACUUUGUUGUCAUGAAAUGCAAGAUGGUGGUCAGGUGAAGAUAAAAUUUUAAAUGUUAAAUUAAUGUUUCAUUUUUGUUGUGUUUGUGUCAGUUGUUUACAGAUGAAUAGAUAACUGAGUAGAAACACAGUUAAGCAGUUGAAUACGCAUGAGUACAUACUGUAAUUUACAGUCCUGUCUUUAUCGAGGUAUGAGAGUGAUACUGGUAUUGUCAUCAAGGCAACUGCCCACUGUGGCUGGGUUAUGCACCCCAGUAGCAAAACUAAAAUAUAGAGUUCCUUUGAAGUGGCAGAGGUGUGUCUGUUGGAAUAUUGCAGCCACAGCAGGCUGUCCAAGCUGUGCAAGAUGUGAAGAGAUGAACCAGUUCUGCUGACAGUAAGUCCCUGUAUCCUAAUUCAACCUGUAGAUAAAACUCAGUCAAGUUUCUCCUGGUUCCUGACAUACGAGGCAUGAUUUUCUCAUGCUGAAGGUGGUCACUGAGGAGGUUGCUGGACAGGAUAAACUGCCAGUGGCUGCCCCGUGUUAACCCUUUCCACCACUGGAUUUACUGACAAGCCUUCAAGCAGUGGAAAUUUUUCUGCACACAGAUAGACAGGAACGAACUCAGCUGGAAAACCUAAUAUUUUCUCCUGUCAGGGCACUCCAGAGAAUUGACUGCCAAAGUUUCCUCAAUCUGAAAAAACAUUAGUAGGACCGCCAUUUUCAUUAAGACCUUCGUCUGUCCUCACAGAGUUUAUUCCUCUCCUCUCUCUGCUUCUUGUGCAACAUUUUUGCAAAUGAACUAAAUAGUAAAUUCUUACCAUAGUAUAUAUGGGAGCCGACAGAUAUGCUGAGCUGGCACUACUUGCUAGAUACGUUAUAUGUCAGCUAUCUUACAUCAGAUUCACUACGGUGGCAGCCGUAUCAUGCCAGCUUCUGACAGCAUAUGCUACAAUAGCUUUUGCAGCUUCUGAUAAGGCCAGCUGUGGAAUUAUAGAAAGUAAGGCUAGAUAUGACAUGGCAAUUCAUGGAGUUUGUCCCUCUACCCAAAGACAAGAUCAGCUGCUUCUGAACAAUUCUUGAAAGAUGACCAUCUUACUGGUUCCUAAAACUGAGCAGUGAUAACAAUUCCACAAUCCCAGGGAAAAGUAUUCCAGUAAAUAACCAUCAGACAGUUGGUAUUGCUUUUUUUAUAAUGCCUAACAUAAAUCUUCCUUGCUACAAUUUAUGUUUAUUACCUCAAGUUCUGUUCUCAAAGAAUCGUGAGCAUAGUUUAUUUUCUUCUUCUUUGGCAGUUACCUUUAAAAUAUGUGAAGAGUGUUAGCCCAUCUUUCC